GUCCUACGGGACGCAGCAGUGGGGAAUAUUGCACAAUGGGGGAAACCCUGAUGCAGCGACGCCGCGUGAGUGAAGAAGUAUCUCGGUACGUAAAGCUCUAUCAGCAGGGAAGAAAAAAAGUCUUUGGCUUUGGACGGUACCUGACUAAGAAGCCCCGGCUAACUACGUGCCAGCAGCCGCGGUAAUACGGAGGAUGCGAGCGUUAUCCGGAUUUAUUGGGUUUAAAGGGUGCGCGGGCGGCACGGCAAGCCGGCGGUCAAAUCGCGGGGCUCAACCCCGCCCAGCCGUCGGAACUGCCGGGCUAG
rnacentral:rRNA from 1 species